ensembl:lncRNA
GCUGUUGGAGUUAAUGGAGGAAGCUCUUCAGGGAGGAGAGGAGCUAGCUAGCUGUUGGACUGUUGGAGUUAAUGGAGGAAGGUCUUCAGGCAGGAGAGGAAGGAGCUAGCUGUUGGAGUUAAUGGAGGAAGCUCUUCAGGGAGGAGAGGAGCUAGCUAGCUGUUGGAGUUAAUGGAGGAAGCUCUUCAGGGAGGAGAGGAGCUAACUAGCUGUUGGAGUUAAUGGAGGAAGCUCUUCAGGUCUUCAGGGAGGAGAGGAGAGGAGCUAGCUAGCUGUUGGAGUUAAUAGAGGAAGCUCUUCAGGGAGGAGAG